rnacentral:rRNA from 1 species
UGGGGAAUAUUGCACAAUGGGCGAAAGCCUGAUGCAGCGACGCCGCGUGAGGGAUGACGGCCUUCGGGUUGUAAACCUCUUUCAGUAGGGACGAAGCGCAAGUGACGGUACCUGCAGAAGAAGCACCGGCUAACUACGUGCCAGCAGCCGCGGUAAUACGUAGGGUGCGAGCGUUGUCCGGAAUUACUGGGCGUAAAGAGCUAGUAGGCGGUUUGUCACGUCGUCUGUGAAAUCCUAGGGCUUAACCCUGGACGUGCAGGCGAUACGGGCUGACUUGAGUACUACAGGGGAGACUGGAAUUUCUGGUGUAGCGGUGGAAUGCACAGAUAUCAGGAAGAACACCGAUGGCGAAGGCAGGUCUCUGGGUAGUAACUGACGCUGAGGAGCGAAAGCAUGGGUAGCGAACAGG